rnacentral:lncRNA from 1 species
CGCUUCUGCGACCUACACCACAGCUCACGGCAACGCCGGAUCCUUAACCCACUGAGCAAGGCCAGGGAUCGAACCCGCAACCUCAAGGUUCCUAGUCAGAUUCAUUUCCACUGUGCCACGACGAGAACGCCCUACAUAUGCUUUUUUUAAUUAAGGUAUGUACCCUAUUUUUUUUUAUUUAUUUGCUUUCUAGGGCCGCACCCACAGAAUGUGGAGGUUCCUGGGCUAGGGAUCGAAUAAUCGGAGCUACAGCUGCCAGCCCAAACCACAGCCACAGCAAGGCCAGAUCCGAACCACAUCUGCUCUCAGCAAUGCCGGAUCCUUAAUCCACUGAGCGAGGCCAGGGAUUGAAGCCACAACCUCAUGGUUCCUACUCAGAUACAUUUCCACUGCGCCACAAUGGGAACUUCCCCACCAUAUAUUUCUUCGUGAGAAAGCAAGUUGGAGAACAGCAUGUGCAGUAUGAUCUAACUUACAUAAUUCUUAGAGGAUAAAAUUCCAUUAUAUGUAUGCUCAUGUAUGAAUAGAAAAUUCGUAGAGGGCAAACACAAGAAACUAUUUACACUGGAAAUGUUGGAGUGGAUAAGAAACUCCCAGUGCCUCGACAUGUAUUAAUUAUUCAGUAAAAGCACGUUUUAAAAAGAGCACAAAAGUGCUGAAAGGCAUGCCCUUGGUCAUCUCAAGGGCUUUAUGUGAUGGUCACACUUUAAAGUGAUCUCGCAAAUUCCAACCAACAGCUAAGAAAUGGAUGAAAAAUGUUCCCACCUUCUUUCAAAAGACAGUGUGCAAAUAUGGCUAGCUCUUUGACAUUCAAAUAAUGGACUGGUUUUAUUUAUCCAGGGAGAAAAAACGCCACUUCAUUUCUAGGGUUUCAAGCCUCAAAGGUUUUAUGGGUCCUUAAUUUUUGUUUGUUUAUUUGUUUGCUUUUGGCAGGUUUUAUUCUUGGGCUGCGUCCAAUAACUGGUCCUAGAAGCUGUUAUGUCAAAAACACAACAGCCAAGCAUCUAACAGUUAGAUGAGUAUAUGGCCAUUUCAGAAUUGUAUUUACUUAGACCCAAAAAAGAAUCUCUAAAACACAGUUAGCAUGUGCUAACAAUGGCACAUUUGAGUCCUAACUCCAUUACCUAGAACACAUUGCUUCUCUAUUAAAUAUGAAAAUGGUUAUGUCCCUAAUAUCUGCUUUCAUUAUCACCUAAUCUCCUCCUAGACUAAAUUACAUUAUUAAAUGCAUGGCAAAGAUGGCUUCAGUACGGUUUAUAGAGCCAAAGAAGACAUCAUUAAAAUCAAAUUAAGCCAUCCACGGGCAGGAUAAAUCUACUUGGACACCUCAGGUCUUAGAGACGGCAAAACCACACACCAGCAUGUGAAACAACUGUUGAGUUCCCACAGUAACUCUGAACUGGCUAAGGACUCCAAGGUGCUCAACUAAAUAAAUUCGUCUUCAUUUAACUGACUGUGCUAUUCCCAGUGAACACCUCUUUAACAAAAGGCUCAGUGUAGGCAUAUAGACUUGAGAACCCAAAGAAGGGUCUCCUACUAGAGAAGGAAAUUGUUAUCUGAUGAUGAAAGAACACUGCGGGCUUGUCAAAGCAGUCACCGGGCUCUAUGAAAUUAUGAAAAGGGUAAAAACACUAGAAAAAAGCAGGAAAAUGAUUAAGCUGUAGGAUUAUAAAAUAAAGGUAAUGAUGAUAGAAUUAAUAUAAACCACUUGUACUUAACCCGUUUUAGUCUCUCCUUGCUUAAAUAGUUAAAGACUCCUGACGGCAAAUGAUAGGUAGGUAUAUGUACCUCACAAGGAGAAAAGAAACUGGCCCAAGAGUGAUGCCCUUUGGCCACGUAUCAUAUAAACAGGAAGGGGAGUGUGCCCUGUUCUCAGGAUCCACUGACACUUUGAUACAAACAAAUAAUGAGGAAAUAUGCUGAAAAUGGAAAGCAUAAAAAAAUCAAUUUCAACAAAAGAAAAGAAAUCAACUCUGCCAGAGGGAAAAAUGACCAUUUUCAAGAAACUGUAAAAAGAAGAAAAAAAAGAGAGAGAGAAGCUCUCUGGUUUUGUAAUGCUUUCUGAAGUACUGACAAUUUCACAUGAGAGAGACACGAAAGCACUACAAAAUUAGGAUGCUUAGGUGUUUCCAAAGCCAUUGUAACUUUCUGAAUGAAUUGUUUAUUACUCACAUACUACUGACAAAUAUUGCACAUAACUUCCUUUGAGCAUUCUAGGAGAGUAUCCAUUUUCUCCCUAGCUUCUCUUUUUACUCCAUAUCAGGAGCUACAAAGCACUCUUCUAACUAACCACCCCAAAGACCCUCCUGCCCCAGAACGCUUGCAACAGUUAAGUGACAUCUGGGCGAGAAUUUCAGAAGGGUGGAUUCUUUCAUGGUUCCUGAACCAUGAGCUGGCACCAGCUUUGGAUUCUGUCAUAAUUUCCACCAUCUCAUUUUUAAGCCUUCCGGGUUAGAGUAUGGGCGCUGCCUGUGAGCUAAGGGCUGCACCUUCUUCUAUCUAUGUCAUUAUUUGUUUACAAAGGGACCGUCUAUAUAGCUUUCCAUGAAGUUCCAAGCAUCACAAAUUAACCACACAACAUUUGAAGACAGUGUAGCUUAGCCACAGUAGUUAUGAUUGACUUUUUAGGGCCUGGCUGAUUCAAAGACUGUUCAUGUCUACACUCUGAUGGUGCUACCAGAACAAAUAAUAAAUAAGGUGGUGUUGUCUUUGCUUGCAAUAAUAGAAGUAUGAUGGGUCCUGUGUCUGAAAACACCGUCUCUCCUCCAUGACUGAAGACGCAAUGAAGCAGACCUGGAAAACAUUCAUAGGAGGACUGGAGAAAACACUGGAUGACAGCUAGAUUCAAAUAUGAAAUACUUCCUGCACAGAAAAUAUAAAAUGAAUGGGUAGAAGAUGCUACUUGCCAUGUCUCAUUCCCUACAAAAAAAUUCCCUCCAAAUCAGAGCUUUCCAGGGAUAGAAAAGGUGUCAGCAUUUCCUCCUUAAACAUAGUGAGGGCCAGCUGGUACUGCCCCAGCCUGUCUGAUCCUGGCAAGGUCUAGGCUUCGGGGCCAUGGUUAGAUAGUAUCUGAAUCCCCAAGACAGUGAGGAUACAGUAGUGCUUAAUUCUCUGAGACUCAACAACACCUUUUCUUAUCAGAAAUGAAAUUCAGAGACCAUAUAACCUACCUACUCACAUAUUUUUAAUCAGUAAAAUGUCCUAGCUGUAACAUAAAAGCAUUUCGCAGUACAUAAAAAUUAUUUGGAAUAAAAUAAUAGUAGUUUAGCAUGCAAUGCUGAAGCUAGACUUCACAAGAAGGCCAUUCAAAUAAUGAAAGGACAGCUAUAAUUGCUGAUGAAUAAAAUGUGUCACAUCAGUUAUUCCAGUACUAAAAGCAGUUUACCCAUCCGUCGCGUGAUUUGUUACAAUAGUGAAUAAUGCUUUGUAAAACAUGGAACACAGCAAAGUAUAGUCUUUUCUCAAUUUACAUGGUAGUUGCAUUUCUGAAAACUUCACUGUGUAAUAAAACAACAGGAACAUAUUUUUUUUAACAUAUAGUAGAGUUAGUUUCCAAACUCAGAAAAUUAUGUACAGGUUUUUCAUUUGCAGGAAUGCCUUCAAGGAUAUUUGAAAGCCUUGUAAGAUAGGAGAAAACUCUGUGCACUGCAUGAAAUCAAGUGGGUCUGGCCCCAAACCACUGCAAGCCAGUGGCACACACUCAACUGCUGUGACAAAGACACAUCAUGAUCCCAACGUACCUUUCUGAGCAAUCCUGGUUUUUCUCAUUGUGAUGGUUAAUUGUAAUGUCAACUUGAUUGGACUGAGGGACAACCAGAUAGCUGGUGACAUUAUUUCUGGGGGUGUCUAUGAUGCUGUUUCUGGAGGAGAACUGCAUUUGAAUCAGUCGACUGAGUAAAGAGAUCCAUCCUCACCAAUGCUGGUGGGCAGCAUCCAAUCCCUUACGGGUCUGAAUAGAACAAAAGGCUGAGGAAGGGCAGACACCCUCUUGCCCUUCUUCAGCUGGGACAUCAUCCAUCUUCCUCUGUCCUGGGUCACUGGGGCUCCUGGUUCUCAGCCUUCAGACUCUGGCACUUAAAACCAGCAACCCCAGAUUAUCUGGGCUUCAGAUUUGGACUAAAUUAAGCCACUGGCCUUCCUGGGUCUCCAGCUGCAAAAUGGAAGAGUGCAGGACUUCUCAGUCUCCAUAAGCACAGGUGCCAAUCCCUAUAAUAAAUCCCCUCUCCAUUUGGCUACAUCUCUCUUUCCAUAUGUCUAUACCAAUAUGCUGUCUCUCUGGAGAACCCCGAAUAAUACACCCAUCCCACUGAGAUGGACUUUCAUAAGCAGAUUCCCCAACAAUAAAGGGACAUCAAAACCCAAAGCUGAGGGGAACUGAUGUGGAAAGAAUCAGGCAGAAGGAGGAUGAGGCUGGGAAGAGGUCCUGAAAUGGAAAGGACAAUAAGCUGCAGUGUUGUUGACAUCGUUUCCGUAGCGACGUACCUCUCUCCUGAGCAUUCAAGGGCACAGUUCAGAGGCAGAGGGAAGUGGUCGUUUGCAGCUGGUCACAGGUGGUAUCCAAGCAGAGGCUGGAUGACCAUUCACAAGGAAGACAGAAGUGGGGACCUGGACAUCUACCAUUCCCUGAGACUGUGGACGUUAUUUAUUCACCAAGGGAACUGGUCAAGUCAGGCUUCCAAAGAAUCUAGGGUAGAGCUGUCAACUUUCACAGCUAGUUCACACACAACCCUUCGCGCAAUAUACUCUAUGAUCGCAGAGACCUCAUCAUUCAUCAGCCAAACCAGGCCACUCUGACAGUGCAAGUAGAAGCUCUAAGUAAAUUCCAUGGCCUAUCAGAUACAAACCAGGACUGUCCCAGGUAAAACUGGACCUGUGUUUAUUGUCUCUACCUUGGAAUUUAUGUCUAAGUACGGAAGAACCACCAGGGAACAGUAGCAUUACUAAAUAAAUAAUAUUUCCAUGGGACUGCCUAACCAUCCAGAGCUUUUUUCCUCCUAUAUUUAUUUUAAAAAUUAAAACCCCCAAAUUAUGGCAUCAUGAAAAUAAUUAUAGCUUACUGUAUUCCUUUAUAUCUUUCCCAAGUAAUAUAUUUGCUAUGUGACUAUGUUUAUACCAAAGCAUAUAUAUUUUAUAAAUUGCUUAUACCUAUUAUAGUUUAAAAUGAGUCAUAUUAUUAAAUUAAAGGCUUCAUUAAUUUAGGAAAAUACAUAUAUAAAUAUAUCAUAUUUCACACUAUAAUAUAUCAUGUUAACAGAGUGGUUUCAAAGUGAUUUGAUAUAUGUAAUCUUAUUAGAAUCAAUCAUCUAAAAAUAAGAACAAGCAUAAAGGGGUAUAUUCAUACCAACCAAAAUAUUAGCAAUAUCAUGAAUUAUCCUUAUGUUUAUAUUUUAGGUCUAACAGUGAAAUGGCCAUUUUUAAAGUCAUUCUUUAUGGAAAGCAGAGACAUUUAAAUAUUAAAAUGUUGGCUCUAUGAUUUGUUUUUAAAGUCACAAUUUAUUACAUAUGGACCCUUUAAAGUUUUUUCAAAACACACAUUUAUAUAAGAAUUAUUUGUGUAUAAUUUGCCUACUGGCUGCACAGUCUUCUGAAAAGAAAUUAAGCCCUCUUUGAAAGGAGGAAAAUAUCUGAAUCCAUCCAUUGUUCCACUUAAAUACUUGGCUCGCAAUAGUACAUACUCAAUAAAUGCUCAUGGAAUUAAACACUGGAUGACUGAUUGAAUGAAUGAAAAAAUAAACCAGCAAUCUCCCACAGGGUAAAGUUUAUGAAGAUAACUAUUCAAUGGUCAUCAAUAUUUCCAACAGAAAUAAACUAAAUGCAUCUAAAACAUAGUAUUUAUUACAUCUAAACCAUAGUGUUGAUGGCGUUUCCUGAUGUCCUAGCAGUUAAGGAUCCAAUGUUGUAACUUUGUGGCUCAAGUCACUGCCAUGGCUUGGGAUUGAUCCCUGGACUUGGAAUUCCUGCAUGCCACAGUCAUAGCAUAAAUAAACAAACAAACAAACCACAGUAUUGCAAUUUGUUCUUUAUAUUUCUUAACCAUAUAUCAUAAAGAGACAUUAACAUUAUAAAUAAAUUAGAGUCAAGUCUUAUUUAACUGUACCAAGGUUUUAGAAAUUAAAUUAUAUUGGGAGUUCCCACUGUGGUUCAUUGUUAAUGAACCUGACUAGCAUCCAUAAGGAUGUUGAUUUGAUCCCUGGCCUCGCUCAGUGGGUU